rnacentral:misc_RNA from 1 species
GAAAGCUCUAGAGGAUUCGAAGAAGAUCAGGGCACUGCUGGAGUUUCAAAGAAACCGAAUAAAGACAUUCUCGAACACGAUCGCAAGCGUCAGAUUGAACUCAAACUUGUCAUACUUGAGGACAAGCUCACUGACCAAGGUUAUACCAUGGAUGAAAUUUCCGAGAAGUUAAAGGAGGCUCGUGAGACUUUGGAAGCUGCUUCAGAGGAAAAAGAUGGAGCUUCUGCCAUCGUACUUGCAGAUAAGAG